AUAACAUGUCAGUCGUCAGAUCUGCAAAAUUUAUCCCAUGAAACAUUGCAGUAUUACACAUAGUUUUAAUCUUGGUUAUCCAAUUGAAGAUAUCAAGCAUCUGUUAGCUUCUAAUAGUCAGACAUGAAUGCACACACUUCUGGUGUGAAAUUCAAUCAUUUUAGAAUGUGUAUUGUGCAAAUUUAUGAAAUCCAUGGGGUCUAGAUGAUAAGAUCCAACGAUUUAAUUAUUUGUAAAGGCAUAAAAAAAUGAUGUCAAUUAGUUUUAUUGACACAGAAGAAAUGGAAUGUUAAUAGAUCUGCACAACUAAUAGAGGGAGAAAGAGCAUUCAAACAGCCAUUAACAUAUUUGUUAAGAUGAAGAGGCCUAUCCAUGGACAGACACAGGUUGCAGUAGAUUGGUGCGCGUAAAACAUGCAAGAUAAGGUCAGAGAAUAAACACUUAAAAGGUAGACAAGGCAGAUUUAGGAUCGGACAGGCAAACAGAGAAGGAUCAACCUAUUCUUCAUGAAGAAUGAAGGUA
rnacentral:lncRNA from 1 species